rnacentral:rRNA from 1 species
AGCGAACGCUGGCGGUAUGCUUAACACAUGCAAGUCGAGCGCGAAAGUGACUUCGGUCAUAAGUAGAGCGGCGGACGGGUGAGUAACACGUGGAUAAUCUGCCUUUAGGACUGGGAUAACCCUGGGAAACUAGGGCUAAUACCGGAUAAGACCACAGGUUCCAUGGAACCAGGGGUAAAAGGCGGCCUUCGGGCUGUCGCCGAAAGAUGAGUCCGCGUCCCAUCAGGUAGUUGGUGAGGUAACGGCUCACCAAGCCGAAGACGGGUAGCCGACCUUAGCGGGUGAUCGGCCACACGGGGACUGAGACACGGCCCCGACUCCUACGGGAGGCAGCAGUGGGGAA